AAUAAUGGGGUCACAUCUCGGCAGCAACCUGCCCUCAGGUAGCAUUUUCAAGUCAUGGCGAAGCUGGAGUACAAGUACCCAAUACCCCACCUAGGACUUGGCCAAGACCACAGCCAGGCGGCCAGACAGAUCCUUGGACUCUUCUGUAAUGAGAGAGUUGAGAUGGGGCCCAAAGGACUCUCCCUAAAGACCUUUCAAAGUGCCAGGUUGAAGGAUAACAGGGUGCUCAGAUUCCCACCUUCAAAGUAUCUGAGAGAACGUUCCGU
rnacentral:lncRNA from 1 species